CGUGGCCCAGUGGUUACAACGCCAGGCUGAUAACCUGUUGGUCGCAGGUGCAAGCCU
rnacentral:tRNA from 11 species